AAUCAUGGCUCAGGAUGAACGCUGGCGGCGUGCCUAACACAUGCAAGUCGAGCGAAGCACUUUGCUUAGAUUCUUCGGAUGAAGAGGAUUGUGACUGAGCGGCGGACGGGUGAAGUAACGCGUGGGUAACCUGCCUCAUACAGGGGGAUAACAGUUAGAAAUGACUGCUAAUACCGCAUAAGACCACAGCACCGCAUGGUGCGGGGGUAAAACUCCGGUGGUAUGAGAUGGACCCGCG
rnacentral:rRNA from 1 species